GGCGCACGGGUGAGUACACGUGACUAACCUACCCUGGAGUGGGGGAUAACUGAGGGAAACCUUAGCUAAUACCGCAUAACACCUACGGGUCAAAGGAGCAAUUCGCUUCAGGAGGGGGUCGCGGCCGAUUAGUUAGUUGGCGGGGUAAUGGCCCACCAAGACAGUGAUCGGUAUCCGGCCUGAGAGGGCGCACGGACACACUGGAACUGAAACACGGUCCAGACUCCUACGGGAGGCAGCAGUGGGGAAUUUUGCGCAAUGGGGGAAACCCUGACGCAGCAACGCCGCGUGGAGGAUGAAGUCCUUCGGGACGUAAACUCCUUUCGAUCGGGACGAUUAUGACGGUACCGGAAGAAGAAGCCCCGGCUAACUUCGUGCCAGCAGCCGCGGUAAUACGAGGGGGGCGAGCGUUGUUCGGAAUUAUUGGGCGUAAAGGGUGCGUAGGCGGUUUGGUAAGUCUUAUGUGAAAUCUAUGGGCUCAACUCAUAGACUGCAUGAGAAACUGCCGGGCUUGAGUAUGGGAGAGGUGAGUGGAAUUCCUGGUGUAGCGGUGAAAUGCGUAGAUAUCAGGAGGAACACCUGUGGCGAAAGCGGCUCACUGGACCAUAACUGACGCUGAUGCACGAAAGCUAGGGGAGCAAACAGGAUUAGAUACCCUGGUAGUCCUAGCCCUAAACGAUGACUGCUUGGUGUGACGGGUACCCAAUCCCGCCGUGCCGUAGCUAACGCGUUAAGCAGUCCGCCUGGGGAGUACGGUCGCAAGGCUGAAACUCAAAGGAAUUGACGGGGGCCCGCACAAGCGGUGGAGCAUGUGGUUUAA
rnacentral:rRNA from 1 species